UCCUCGAAAUAGCUUUAGGGCUAGCCUCAUGGAUCAUUGGUGGGGGUAGAGCACUGAAUGUGCGCGGGGGCCACAAAGCCUACCAAACGCUAUCAAACUUCGAAUACCAUACAAUGCAGACCAUGGGAGUCAGUCCGCGAGAGAUAAGUUCCGCGGGCAAAAGGGGAACACCCCAGAUCAACCGCUAAGGUCCCCAAGUUCACGUUAAGUGGAGAAGGAUGUGGAAUUGCACAGACAACCAGGAUGUUGGCUCAGAAGCAGCCACACAUUUAAAGAGUGCGUAAUAGCUCACUGGUCGAGUGAUUGUGCGCCGAAGAUGUCCGGGGCUAAACGUGACACCGAAGCGAUGGGUGCAUCUGAAAGGAUGCGCGGUAGAGGAGCAAUGUGCAGAGGCAGAAGCCGUAUCGAGAGGCACGGUGGACACUGCACAAGAGAGAAUGCCGGUAUGAGUAGCGAGAGGCAUGCGAGAAACAUGCCCGUCGAAAGCCCAAGGUUUCCUGGGGAAGGUUCAUCCGCCCAGGGUAAGUCGGGGCCUAAGCCGAGGACGGAAGUCGUAGGCGAUGGACAGCAGGUGUAGAUUCCUGCACUACCGAUGGAAUGAAGCAGUGACACAGAAGGAUAACUCGAGCAGGGUGAUGGUCAACCCUGUGCAAGCAUUGAGGUUGGGUUGUAGUGAAGUACGCAAUCCUAUAAGCUGAGGUGUGAUGCGGACCGAAAUUUCAGUAGGGAAGCGAGUGAGUUCACGCUGGCGAGAAAAGCUGCUAGUAUAUCCAAAGGUACCCGUACCGGAAACCGACGCAGGUGGGCGAGGAGAGAAUCCUGAGACGAACGGGAGAACCCUUGUUAAGGAACUCGGCAAAAUGACCCCGUAACUUCGGGAUAAGGGGUGCCUGCGAGAGCAGGCCGCAGAGAAUAGUCACAAGCGACUGUUUAGCAAAAACACAGGUAUCUGCGAAAGCGAGAGCUGACGUAUAGGUGCUGACACCUGCCCGGUGCUGGAAGGUUAAGGGAACAUGUUAGAGCAAUCGAAGCAUCGAACCGAAGCCCCAGUAAACGGCGGCCGUAACUAUAACGGUCCUAAGGUAGCGAAAUUCCUUGUCGGGUAAGUUCCGACCCGCACGAAUGGUGUAACGACUUGUGAGCUGUCUCAACAGGGGGCCCGGUGAAAUUGAAGUAUGGGUGAAGAUGCCCAUUACCCGCGACUGGACGGAAAGACCCCGUAGAGCUUUACUGCAGCCUGAUAUUGAGUUUCGGUAACUGAUGCACAGGAUAGGUGGGAGUCUGAGAGACAUGGGUUUCGGCUCGUGUGGAGACGCUGUUGGGAUACCACUCUUCGGUUACUGAAAUUCUAACAUAGCUCUGUGAAACCAGAGGAUGGACAGUGUCAGGUGGACAGUUUGACUGGGGCGGUCG
rnacentral:rRNA from 1 species